CGCCGCCGCCGACGAGUCUU
rnacentral:snRNA from 1 species